rnacentral:rRNA from 1 species
UGGGGAAUAUUGCACAAUGGGGGAAACCCUGAUGCAGCGACGCCGCGUGAGCGAAGAAGGUUUUCGAAUCGUAAAGCUCUGUCCUAUGGGAAGAUAAUGACGGUACCAUAGGAGUAAGCCCCGGCUAACUACGUGCCAGCAGCCGCGGUAAUACGUAGGGGGCAAGCGCUGUCCGGAAUCACUGGGCGUAAAGGGUUCGCAGGCGGAAAUGCAAGUAAGUUGUGAAAGGCAGAGGCUCAACCUCUGUAAGCAAUUGAAACUGUAUUUCUUGAGAUGUGGAGAGGCAAGUGGAAUUCCUAGUGUAGCGGUGAAAUGCGUAGAUAUUAGGAAGAAUACCGGUGGCGAAGGCGACUUGCUGGACACAAACUGACGCUAAGGAACGAAAGCGUGGGUAGCAAACAGG